rnacentral:RNase_P_RNA from 1 species
CGUCUUGUCGUCGUCUCAUGGUAAUAGUGGGAAGGAGGAAAGUCCGGGCAACAUAGAGCGCCAUACUUCCUAACGGGAAGGGGGCUGACUGGUGACGGUCAGUUUACAGCUAGUGCAACAGAGAAUAUACCGCCAAUCGACUUCGGGGCCUGCCCUGAGCUUGUCGAAGGGUAAGGGUGAAAAGGUGGGGUAAGAGCCCACCGGUCUGGCAGUGAUGUCAGGGGCAUGGCAAACCUUAUGGGUUGAAAGAUCAAAUAGGUUCCGCGUCGGAUUCAAUUCCGAGAAAAGUUGCUCGCUUUUAUGCGGAAUGGGUAGAUCGAUGGACCUCGAUUGUGAAGUCGAGGCUAGAUAAAUGGCAAGAAACUAAUUCUGGAAACAGAAAAGGAAACAGAACCCGGCUUAUAG